AUUGAACGCUGGCGGCAGGCCUAACACAUGCAAGUCGAGCGGCAGCGGGAAAGUAGCUUGCUACUUUUGCCGGCGAGCGGCGGACGGGUGAGUAAUGCCUGGGAAAUUGCCCAGUCGAGGGGGAUAACAGUUGGAAACGACUGCUAAUACCGCAUACGCCCUACGGGGGAAAGCAGGGGACCUUCGGGCCUUGCGCGAUUGGAUAUGCCCAGGUGGGAUUAGCUAGUUGGUGAGGUAAUGGAUCACCAAGGAGACGAGCCCUAGCUGGUCUGAGAGGAUGAUCAGCCACACUGGAACUGAGACACGGUCCAGACUCCUACGGGAGGCAGCAGUGGGGAAUAUUGCACAAUGGGGGAAACCCUGAUGCAGCCAUGCCGCGUGUGUGAAGAAGGCCUUCGGGUUGUAAAGCACUUUCAGCGAGGAGGAAAGGUUGUUGGCUAAUAUCCAACAGCUGUGACGUUACUCGCAGAAGAAGCACCGGCUAACUCCGUGCCAGCCGCCGCGGUAAAAC
rnacentral:rRNA from 1 species